rnacentral:siRNA from 1 species
CCGUUUAGGCCAAGGAAGUUUGA